rnacentral:lncRNA from 1 species
CAAGGAAUCUUUGCUUUUUUCAAAACGUCAAAAAGAAAACAGUAAAAAGCUAUGCUAUCAAAUCUUACUUUAUCAAACAGUAAGAUUCUUUACAAAUUUUUCAAAAAGAAAACAGUAAAGAUUCUUCUUUUUGUACAAUAAUUCUUGAUCUUUUCUUGAGAUCUGGACAAAAGUCUUCAAGUGGUUGAGUCUAGUCUGAAAAUCACCGUAACUUUUUGCCAAAUGUCUUCUUUAAGCUAAAAUCUGAAUGAAUCCUUAUCUUGUUUCAUAAUUAUGUCUGCCAAUGCUGUCUAAAGAGUCUCCUCCAUCAGUACAACCUUCUGGAUUAUCAUCUUCUUCUGAAUUAUUGUCUUCAAAAUUAUCCAAGUCUUUUUCUUGUUCAAU